GCAAGUCGAACGAUGAAUCACUUCGGUGGGGAAGAGUGGCGAACGGGUGAGUAACACGUGGGCAAUCUGCCCUGCACUCUGGGAUAACUCCGGGAAACCGGAGCUAAUACCGGAUACGACUCUCCAGGGCAUCCUGGGGGGUGGAAAGCUCCGGCGGUGCAGGAUGAGCCCGCGGCCUAUCAGCUGGUUGGUGGGGUAAUGGCCCACCAAGGCGACGACGGGUAGCCGGCCUGAGAGGGCGACCGGCCACACUGGGACUGAGACACGGCCCAGACUCCUACGGGAGGCAGCAGUGGGGAAUAUUGCACAAUGGGCGCAAGCCUGAUGCAGCGACGCCGCGUGAGGGAUGACGGCCUUCGGGUUGUAAACCUCUUUCAGCAGGGAAGAAGCGCAAGUGACGGUACCUGCAGGAGAAGCACCGGCUAACUACGUGCCAGCAGCCGCGGUAAUACGUAGGGUGCGAGCGUUGUCCGGAAUUAUUGGGCGUAAAGAGCUCGUAGGCGGCCUGUCGCGUCGGAUGUGAAAGCCCGGGGCUUAACCCCGGGUCUGCAUUCGAUACGGGCAGGCUAGAGUUCGGUAGGGGAGA
rnacentral:rRNA from 2 species